rnacentral:lncRNA from 1 species
GUAUGUUUCCGAGGGAUUAGGAAAAGCCAGGAGGAUUUAGCCCAGAGGAGAAGAGAGGAUCCGAUUCUCGCUUUGCCCCCGAAAGAGUCAGAAUCCAUUCUGACUUCCAGGCCAUUUCAUUCAACUGAAGCUAAUUCUACUGCUACUGUAAGAGUUCCGGGUGAAGUUCAUAGAAAGAGGUUUUCAUAGGACCUAAUUCCAAGGUAUUAGGAAGAUCUUCUACGGGACUCAG